CAGGGUCCUAGAGCCCUUCCACCUCCUUCCCAAAGCUAGGUAAGCACUUACCAGGCUUUGAGAAGGAGGUGGAAGGACUCUAGGACCCUG